UCGGAUAGUCGAACCUCGGAUUCAGGAGGAACAGUGUGGUUUUCGUCCUGGUCGUGGAACUGUGGACCAGCUCUAUACUCUCGGCAGGGUUCUUGAGGGUGCAUGGGAGUUUGCCCAACCAGUCUACAUGUGCUUUGUGGACUUGGAGAAGGCAUUCGACCGUGUCCCUCGGGAAGUCCUGUGGGGAGUGCUCAGAGAGUAUGGGGUAUCGGACUGUCUUAUUGUGGCGGUCCGUUCCCUGUGCUCAGUGCCAGAGCUUGGUCCGCAUUGCCGGCAGUAAGUCGAACACAUUUCCAGUGAGGGUUGGACUCCGCCAAGGCUGUCCUUUGUCACCGAUUCUGUUCAUAACUUUCAUGGACAGAAUUUCAAGGCGCAGUCAAGGCAUUGAGGGGUUCCGGUUUGGUAACCGCAGGAUUAGGUCUCUGCUUUUUGCAGAUGAUGUGGUCCUGAUGGCUUCAUCUGACCGGGAUCUUCAGCUCUCGCUGGAUCGGUUCGCAGCUGAGUGUGAAGCGACCGGAAUGAGAAUCAGCACCUCCAAGUCCGAGUCCAUGGUUCUCGCCCGGAAAAGGGUGAAAUGCCAUCUACGGGUUGGGGAAGAGACCCUGCCCCAAGUGGAGGAGUUCAAAUACCUAGGAGUCUUGUUCACGAGUGAGGGAAGAGUGGAUCGUGAGAUCGACAGGCGGAUCGGUGCGGCAUCUUCAGUAAUGCGGACGUUGUACCGAUCUGUUGUGGUGAAGAAGGAGCUGAGCCGGAAGGCAAAGCUCUCAAUUUACCGGUCGAUCUACGUUCCCAUCCUCACCUAUGGUCAUGAGCUUUGGGUCAUGACCGAAAGGAUAAGAUCACGGGUACAAGCGGCCGAAAUGAGUUUCCUCCGCCGUGUGGCGGGGCUCUCCCUUAGAGAUAGGGUGAGAAGCUCUGCCAUCCGGGAGGAACUCAAAGUAAAGCCGCUGCUCCUCCACAUGGAGAGGAGCCAGAUGAGGUGGUUCGGGCAUCUGGUCAGGAUGCCACCCGAACGCCUCCCUAGGGAGGUGUUUAGGGCACGUUCAACCGGUAGGAGGCCACGGGGAAGACCCAGGACAUGUUGGGAAGACUAUGCCUCCCGGCUGGCCUGGGAACGCCUCGGGAUCCCCCGGGAAGAGCUAGACGAAGUGGCUGGAGAGAGGGAAGUCUGGGUUUCCCUGCGUAGGCUGUUGCCCCCGCGACCCGACCUCGGAUAAGCGGAAGAUGAUGGAUGUAUGCUCUAAGGUGCACUUUGAUGCAGUGGCCACACAGAAACUAUGUUUGUGUAUUUAAAAUUUGGGCCCUCAAAGUGGUGCGUAUGUCAUCGUUUUAUAUUAGUUACACUAAUUAAAUGAUUAAUCCAACCAACAAAAUAUGAAUUUAAGCUUUUUUUCCUCAUCAAAUUGUUGUAACUUGCAGCAAAACAAUGCUUGAACACGUGCAACAAACAGGGUGCACUAUAUAUUGCACUAUAUAUUUUGCCAUAAUUAUAAAAAGGUUGUGAAAGGUGGAUUGGGGCAUACUUAGUAGAAGUAAUGGAAUGUCUGCAGUAGUUUUCGUAACAAAUUGUACUAAAUUCAAAUGCUAUUAGGCCCUAUCUUUUCUGAUCUGUCUCUCACUUAAUGUGCGUUUCAUGUCCGCCCUUCAAACUGCGUUGUCUUUCCUGAGACAUAAUUGUGCUAAUAGCGCUGUUAUGUAAUUUUCAGCAGUGUUCAUUGUGUGCCCUCACUCAAAUUACCAAGUAAUUAGACCUAAUGUAGCAUCAUGGAGCACUGAUUGAAGAGCGCUAACAGGCAUUCUCUUCCCGAUGAAGCGAUGCAAUAAUAUUGUUACAGAAUUGUUCACGCCGCAUGAUAAGGUUUUUGAGUGGAAUGCAAUAAAUGUUGAAAAUAGAUUUUUAACAUGGAUGAUUGUGAUCAUGUCCUCUAUAUUUUCAAUACAUUUAGAGCUUUUUCAGUAGAUUUGGAAUUUUACAGUAAUUAAUGUCAUUUGUUUGUUUGGUUCAAACAUCUCAGUAUGUGUCAGGUUUCUUGUGCACACUUUCACCUAGCGACACGUUAGAUGCCUGACACGCUGACAGUGGCCUGUAGUCCUUCCCUGCGUCACACAUGCUGGCACUCUGACACAGUGAUCCCUUCAGGACACGUGCCAGCCUGCAGAGCUCAUGCAUGACCUGCUCUGACCGCAUUUGGGGCGGGUGAGGCGGAUAUUUCAUUUAAAUCUUGAUUUAAGUCACAAGCAAAUGUUACUAGAGAUGUGACAUUCGUGAUUGAGUCAAAUCUUCUAAAUUACUUUUUUGAAUGAAUAAUGAGAACCGAUUUGCAUUCAUUUUUCUGGUUAAUUGUUUGUCCUUUGGAUUUGUAAAGUAGUUGAGGUGUAUGCACUGGGUAGCUUAGUACAAUCUUGAAUGCACCUUUUUUCCUACCGGUAAUCUUGAUUUUAUUCCUAUUUUUAUGUUUUAUGUACAAUAGGGACUGCAGAUGGAAAUUAGCUAUUUAACUAUAAUCUGGUACAGAACAUAUCUGUCUUUUAACUUAAUGUUUCUGUGCAUUGUCCCUUUAAAUAAAGACUAAACUACUAAUAAGACAUUUUUUUGCUAUUUAUUAUUUGCUUAUUUUAUCUGUACUGGUGAGGGAAAAUUCAAAAUAGUGAUCUCAUUGUCAAUACAUACGGGAUGGGAUAUGGCACCAACCUAUGAAAUGUUUACAAUAAAGACGCAAACCAAAUUCUUUAAAUAUUAGUGUUUUAGAAUAAUUUCCAUCAAUGGAGCUACAUUAGUGGAAUGUGUAAAUUUGAAUUAUUCUGACCCAAAUCUUUUUUUACAACUGAUUCAUUCUUUGAUAAAAACAAGUAAUUUCUGUAAAAAAAAUUAAAAAAACUAUUUGAAAAGUAAAAUUCCUUAAGAUCUGGCUACUUUCAAAUUAAAUUAAAUUAAAAUAAAUACCUGAUGAGUAAAAUAUAUUUUUAAAAAAAAGGUCAAUAAAUUAUUAAAGAAGGACUAAAGGUUACAAUUAUCAUUUGAAUGUAAAUGAUCUGAUAUCUGCAUCACACAGAGUUGUAAAAAAAGUGUUAGAAUAUUUAACUGGUCACAAGAAUAAAGGGGGCGGACAACAUGAUAACUUUGAAUAUAAAUAGAACGACGUGCAAGAAUACACUGUGGGUGAAAGGCUCGACGUGGUUCUCGCAGGACUACUAUCUGCUUUCAAUAUAAUAAAGUGUGUCCCUAAAUCUGCACCAGAUCAUCAGUAUGGAGACAUCCAGCACAACUAAGCGGCUUGGAGCAGAGGGGGAGAGAGGAUUGGUGAGACUGAAAAGUCUGGAGAAAUCUUUGCAUGAAAAACAUACGUCAGUCUACCCCAGGGCAGCUGUGGCUACUGAUGUAGCUUACCACCACCAGGUGUGAACGAAUGUUGGGUCCCACUUCUCUGAGAGCGCUUUGAGUGUUUAGAAAAGCGCGAUAUAAAUCUAAGUUACUAUUAUUAUUAUUAAAAAGCUUGUUUACCCUGCACGCUUGAAUCCUGUGCCGUGUCUGACGGUGGCACUGCAAACGACUUCCCCAAAAAUAUAAAUUAAAAAAAAAAAACAUUUCCGGUAUAGUACUGAAUAUGAUUCAUUAGUAUCGCAGUGCUAUACUAAUACUGGUGUU